UACGUAGGGGGCAAGCGUUGUUCGGAAUGACUGGGCGUAAAGGGUGCGUAGGCGGAGUGUCAAGUCAGCGGUAAAAUUUCGGGGCUCAACCUCGUCGUGCCGUUGAAACUGUUUUUCUUGAGUACUGGAGAGGCAGACGGAAUUCCUAGUGUAGCGGUGAAAUGCGUAGAUAUUAGGAGGAACACCAGUGGCGAAGGCGGUCUGCUGGACAGCAACUGACGCUGAGGCGCGAAAGCGUGGGGAGCAAACAGG
rnacentral:rRNA from 1 species